CUUCUUUCUCUAAAAAAGGGAGCCAUUUCCAUGGCUUUAUGCUGAACAAGAUAAGAGUCGUUCCCAAGCUCCACCAUUAGAAGCAGCCGUUUUGAAUACAGAAAGGAUCAGCCGUUGUUUUGGGAUUUUUGACCAACCUGGACUCAAAAGACCUUCUUCUUCAUGAAAAAACCUUAGAGAAUCGACAGAUUAGAGCAACAGUUACACCAAAAUGAGAGAACUCCCCAUCCCUGCUUCUCCUCCACGCCUUCUCCGCCACCGUUUCUUCUUCUCCGGUCAAAAUCCAGCAACCACCAACAACCACGACACACACACACGUACCAAAAAAUAGAAGUUUCGGACAGAAUUUUGGAGAGAAAAGACUAAAAAAGCACGCAAAGAUUUAGUUCAUUUUUUCUUUCUCUGAGUUCCGAUUUUGAUCUGAAACAUAGAGUUUGGUUGAGUUCCAGUGGUGUCGGGUUCCGAGGUUUUGAUUGCCGUUCGUUGAUCCCGAUCGAAGUGUAGUCCAUUGUUUCCGGUCAAGUUCGGGUUGCCGAAUCUCUGUGGUUGUUUGAAUCUCAGCGUCAUUUGCUUGUAUACAAAUUCUAAACAGACAUAAUUUUGAAAGCUUAUCAAGGUGAUUGAUAAAGUUCAGGAAGAAGCAAAAGCCGUGCAGCUGGAAAGAUAGCUCUGCACUGCUUAUCCGGGAACCUUUUCUAUGAGAUAUGAGUACAACAACUUAUGUGUAGACUAUAGAAGUAUUUUGCAGCAACAAAGGCCGGUCCGCACGGGCUAUCAGAGACUUACUUCUUAGACUUGAGGAAAAAAACUUAAUUGGACUGGAUGCCUGUGACCAUGCCGAGUGGAUUGUAUUGUUAUGCAUGUGACCAGGGCGGGUGGAUUAUGAUAUUAUGCAUGUGACCACGCGGGAGGAUUGUGUUGUUAUUCUUGUGACCAUGCCGGGCGAAUUAUAAUAUUGUGCAUGUGACAACACAUGGGCGGAUUGAUAUUAUUAGCAUGUGAGUUGUCCGUGCAGCAUGAGAGCUAUCCAAGUGGAUACAGAUAUUAAUAUUAUAGCAUGUGAGUUGUAUGUGCCGCACGGGAGUUAUCUGUGCGGUUGAUAUUAUUAGCACGUGAGUUGUCCGUGCAGCAGAUGAGUUGUCCGUGCAGCGUGUGCACGGACAACGCGAAUUGUGAGAAACCGAUGGGUUUCUAGUUGAUGUGAGCUUUGGGAGAGCUGGUUACUAUUAUUGGAUUGGGUUGCACGCUGCAACGGACUGAAAUUCCCUUUACUAUUUACCUGAUUUUACUUGCUUAUCCUUAUAUGUUGGAUUGUUGACUAAGCAAAACACUUUAAAAUGAAGAAUUAUGAGCAUCAAAGUAGUUUUACUUGAGAUUUCAUGUUUUGAUCAUGUAUAUGUUCUAUACUUAUUGAUAUUAUGAACUGCAUAGGUUUUAGUGAGUAUCAUCUACAGUUCUUGCUUAUUUUACCGUACUGAGGUUAGUUAGGAUACUUACAAAAUACAUGGGGUUAGUUGUACUCAUACUUAUUGGAGUUAUUGUUGUUGUUUAUGGCGGGAGCUGCAAUUUAAGAUGUACCCGCAUUUCAGUUAUGGCUA